rnacentral:rRNA from 1 species
CUGCGGAAGGAUCAUUGUCGUGACCAAAACAGACCGCGCACGCGUCAUCCAACCCGUCGGUGACGGCACUGUCCGUCGCUCGGCCAAUGCCUCGACCACCUCCCCUCCUCGGAGCGGGUGGGGGCUCGGGGUAAAAGAACCCACGGCGCCGAAGGCGUCAAGGAACACUGUGCCUAACCCGGGGGCAUGGCUAGCUUGCUAGCCGUCCCUUGUGUUGCAAAGCUAUUUAAUCCACACGACUCUCGGCAACGGAUAUCUCGGCUCUCGCAUCGAUGAAGAACGUAGCGAAAUGCGAUACCUGGUGUGAAUUGCAGAAUCCCGCGAACCAUCGAGUCUUUGAACGCAAGUUGCGCCCGAGGCCACUCGGCCGAGGGCACGCCUGCCUGGGCGUCACGCCAAAACACGCUCCCAACCACCCUCAUCGGGAAUCGGGACGCGGCAUCUGGUCCCUCGUCUCGCAAGGGGCGGUGGACCGAAGAUCGGGCUGCCGGUGUACCGCGCCGGACACAGCGCAUGGUGGGCGUCCUCGCUUUAUCAACGCAGUGCAUCCGACGCGCAGCCGACAUUAUGGCCUCAGAACGACCCAGCAAACGAAGCGCACGUUGCUUCGACCGCGACCCCAGGUCAGGCGGGACUACCCGCUGAGUUUAAGCA